UUAUUAGUAGUUUAUGAAAAUCGACAAAUUGUGGAUUUGUAGAAUACAGCUUUAUUGUACUAAUAAU
rnacentral:tRNA from 1 species